AGUUUGUCUUGUUGCAAAUACUCGGGUCAUUAAGAGUAAUCAAUGACCCUGCCACUGUCCAAAAAAUCCUAGAGCUGCAGAAUUUGCUUUCUGAUGGGUCUCGAAACUGAACACGAGGCUCCCUCUCUGCACCAGGACACUUCCAAAUGCAUUGCCCCGUGAGCAGCUGAUCUGGCUUCAUGGGCACCUCCUCAGGACACUACUCCUUACAGAGGCACAGUGGAUCAACAGACAUGAAUGUCUUUGUCAGGACGGAGCUAGGCAGAUAAGUGUCGGGUGUGGACGGAAGAAAGGCAGGUGAGUGGAUGAUGUAAACUGAGCUGUGUUACUUGUAAGCAGUUAAGAUAACUGCCUGUCAUUGGCCACAAAAUCAGAGCUGUGCAGACAUGCCCUAAAAUUAGAACAAUUUAUACCACUUAGCAGUAAAACAAAGUGUUAUUUUUAAAGGCUGGACUGAAGAGCUGUGGAGAAGGACUAUGAAAAACAGCACUCUGAGAACUGACUGAUACCUGGUGAAACUUCACAUUUGGUAUAGACCUAUAGUAAAUUAAUCAAGACCUUGUUCUACGCCUCCAGCCUGUGAAAGACUACUGAAAUUCAUUCUGCUUUACAACACCCAAACAGGAGUCAAAUAUAUAUAGUUAAAUUAAUUUGUUGGGUGUUGUAGGGAGUAAAUAAAAAAGGUCAUUCCCCUGGACCUAAUUUGUCUCACCCUUCAUGUUUGUGUGCAUCUCUGAAUGCCAAGAUACAAAAGAAAAUCUCAUUAACCUUAAGAUUCAGGUAGCACCCCUGCUUCCAAAACAGACAUUCAGAGAGUCAGCCUCUCUUUUCAAGCACAAAAUGAGCAUCGAAAGUUAAAAGCUGCAAAGGGAAUCACUGAAGAAUUUCAACAAAGAUGAAGACACUUUUGAAUACUAAUUAGUUUCCUUGUAAUUGAAAAAAGACCCUGAUAACUGUAACCAGCAUCUAUUGCAGCAGGAAUUCUGCAGCAUGGCUGAUUUAACCUUUAGGUUAGCUCGGGGACUGAGUGCCAGAUGAGACUUAGACCUUCAAGUAAAAUUGAUGGAGUACCCAAUUUUACCAGCAUUGAUGAAAGGAAAGAGUGGGUGGCAAACAGAUCACAAAACAAGGAUUUUACAGGUUUUGGGGAUGGGUCUUGAACAGCGAGAACUGCACCCCUUUGAACAAGUAAAAAGGCAAACCAACAAAUAGGAACGGCAGGGUGAAGGGGGCUCAGCCAGGCAUUUAAGUUCAGUUGACCAAAAUAUGGGCUUGUCCGCAAGGGAAGUUAAUCUGAAAUAAGGUGAGGUGUGAAUUGCUAUUCUGGAAUAACUCUGCUUGUGGACACUCUUAUUCCAGAAUGAGAGCAUCCAGACAGGGAGAUAAUCCAGAAUAGCUAUGCCAUUUUCCCCAUGUAGACAAGCCCUAAGAAGAGAGACUGCUGUGCUCAGUCACUCAAUCUUGACUGCAUCUUAGAAGGAAGGUAGGUUGUCUUAAAGGGGGAGGUGGUUUGCACCCAUUGUUAUUAGACUCCCCCCCCCCAUUUUUUAUUUUAAAAAAAGCAGGUCAAGGUGGGUAAAUGGCCAAUAUCUAUUUGUGAAUUUUGGACAUUUAUGGCUCCUACCUUACCCACUCUUCUUUUCAGACAGGUGCCCCAACCAGAUCACCAGUAAUCUUUACUCCCUCCCCCCAAUAUCUCCUCUUACUCCACGAGGAUGUUCCUUCCAGGGGUCAUAGAGCUGUGGGCCUUUGAAACAGAAGCAUAGCAGCAGCAGGAGCCCUUCCUUUCUCAUCAUGACAAUCACUUCCCAAAGGCAUGAGGUCCCCAUCUCUGACUCUAGCACUUCAUGCAUUAUUGGCUGCUAGACUCGUAUCAGAAUGAGGACGAAAAGAGCAAAAUGGAAGUCAGAAUGACACCAUAGGGGGCCUGAAAACACACAAUUUGCCACAGUUACUAUAGAAGUUAAGAGCUGGCUGCAAAAGCAGCAAUGAACUUUUCACAGAAACAUUUUGUCUACAUUCUGAAGUUUCUAUCAGCUCCAGUGGAAAUAACUUGGAGAAACCAACAAACUUCUCCAAGCAUUGAUCCCGGACUAAUGAUCACAGAUCCAGCAUUUUGAUUCUCGCACUGAGAAACAGGCCUACAGGCAAAUGCCAAAGUGACUCAACGUAAAGAAGAACUUCCAAGUGUUACUCACAGGUUGCGAUUUCCGUGAUCAGCUCAGCUGAAUUGUGGCAGCCCUGCACUAUGUUCCUUGUCCACAGUGAGAGGUCUCUGCUAGUCUCUGUCCUGAAGAGAUGGGUUUCAAUCCCUUGCCUUGUACCG